rnacentral:rRNA from 1 species
GACGAACGCUGGCGGCGUGCCUAAUACAUGCAAGUCGAGCGGACGGAUGGGAGAUUGCUCCCAGCCCGUCAGCGGCGGAACGGUUAGUUACACGUUGGCAACCUGCCUGUAAGACUGGGGUAACUCCGGGAAACCGGGGCCAAUACCGGCUUACUCUUUCUCUCCCCUGAGGGUAAGCUGAAAAGUUGCAUCUCCCUCUCACUUACAGAUUGCCCCGCGGCGCAUUAGCUAGUUGGUGAGGUAACGGCUCACCAAGGCGACGAUGCGUAGCCGACCUGAGGGGGUGAUCGGCCACACUGGAACUGGGACACGGCCCAGACUCCUACGGGAGGCAGCAGAAGGGAAUCUUCGGCAUUGGACGAAGGUCUGACGGGGCAACGCCGCGUGAGUGAUGAAGUUUUUCGGAUCGUAAAACUCUGUUGUAGGGGAGGAAGAAGGAGCGGAGUAACUGCCGAUACCGUGACGGUACCUAACCAGAAAGCCACGGCUAACUACGUG